rnacentral:rRNA from 1 species
GCAACUCGAGUGCAUGAAGCUGGAAUCGCUAGUAAUCGCGGAUCAGAAUGCCGCGGUGAAUACGUUCCCGGGUCUUGUACACACCGCCCGUCACACCAUGGGAGCCGACAACGCCGAAGUCAGUGACCUAACCGAGAGGGAGGAGCUGCCGAAGGCGGGGUUGGUAACUGGGGUGAAGUCGUAACAAGGUAGC